GCACUAGCGCGGUGGUCCCACCUGACCCCGAACUCAGAAGUGAAACGCCGUAGCGCCGAUGGUAGUGUGGGGUCUCCCCAUGUGAGAGUAGGGAACUGCCAGGC
rnacentral:rRNA from 1 species